AACGAACGCUGGCGGCAUGCCUAACACAUGCAAGUCGAACGAAGGCUUCGGCCUUAGUGGCGCACGGGUGCGUAACGCGUGGGAAUCUGCCCCUCGGUUCGGAAUAACAGUUAGAAAUGACUGCUAAUACCGGAUGAUGACUUCGGUCCAAAGAUUUAUCGCCGAGGGAUGUGCCCGCGUAAGAUUAGGUAGUUGGUGGGGUAAAGGCCUACCAAGCCGACGAUCUUUAGCUGGUCUGAGAGGAUGAUCAGCCACACUGGGACUGAGACACGGCCCAGACUCCUACGGGAGGCAGCAGUGGGGAAUAUUGGACAAUGGGCGAAAGCCUGAUCCAGCAAUGCCGCGUGAGUGAUGAAGGCCUUAGGGUUGUAGAGCUCUUUUACCAGGGAUGAUAAUGACAGUACCUGGAGAAUAAGCUCCGGCUAACUCCGUGCCAGCCGCCGCGGUAA
rnacentral:rRNA from 1 species